rnacentral:lncRNA from 1 species
UGUGUGAUUUGGCGGUUAAAUCAUUCGGCACGACAGGGUCUACUCGAUAGGUCACGUUAAUUUUUACAUCCAUGCUAUUUGAUAUUUUGUAUCAUGCAUUAAGAGAUUGAUUGAUUUACAAAUGAUUGUGUGUAUUGAAAUACUAGUAUUUAUAUAUAUAUAUAUAUCUAGCGGGACGGCUACAGUGCAGGCGAUUUGGUGUCACGAUAUCUCAGUAGCAUGGGUUCGGAUCCCGGCGAGGGAAGAACAAAAAAUUUGCGAAAGCAAAUUUACAGAUCUAACAUUGUUGGGUUGAUGUUUAGACGAGUUGUAUAUAUAUAUAUUUAUGAUGACUUUUCGUUCUGAUUCGAAAUUUGUAUACAAUAAAAAUAUUUAAUGGUUGUUAUUAAACCAGCCCUCGGCUCUGUCGUGUGGUAUUGCACUUUACUCUUUUUUGUUAUUUAUUAAUAUGAUUAAUAUCAGUGGUUGU